GAACGCUGGCGGCGUGCUUAACACAUGCAAGUCGAACGGGGUCCAUGCAGUAGCAAUACUGCGGAAGGCCUAGUGGCGAACGGGUGAGUAACACGUGAGGAACCUGCCCUGGUCUCUGGGAUAACAGUUGGAAACAGCCGCUAAUACCGGAUGACGUCGGACCGUCGCAUGGCGGACUGACGAAAGGGUUACCGGAUCAGGAGGGCCUCGCGUCCUAUCAGCUUGUUGGUGGGGUAACGGCCUACCAAGGCAUCGACGGGUAGCUGGUCUGAGAGGAUGAUCAGCCACACUGGGACUGAGACACGGCCCAGACUCCUACGGGAGGCAGCAGUGGGGAAUCUUGCGCAAUGGGCGAAAGCCUGACGCAGCAACGCCGCGUGCGGGAAGAAGGCCUUCGGGUUGUAAACCGCUUUCAGAAGGAACGAAACUGACGGUACUUUCAGAAGAAGGUGCGGCCAACUACGUGCCAGCAGCCGCGGUGACACGUAGGCACCAAGCGUUGUCCGGAUUUAUUGGGC
rnacentral:rRNA from 1 species